UUUUUGCGUGAGGGAUAACAGUGGAAAUCCUUUUAUGAAGCGCAGCGGAGUAAAAGAUUAUAACGAAUAGCCCGACCUUUU
rnacentral:sRNA from 1 species